UACGAAGGGUGCUAGCGUUGUUCGGAAUUACUGGGCGUAAAGCGCGCGUAGGCGGCUAUUCAAGUCAGAGGUGAAAUCCCUGGGCUCAACCCAGGAACUGCCUUUGAAACUGUAUAGCUAGAGUGUCGGAGGGGAUAGCGGAAUUGCUAAUGUAGAGGUGAAAUUCGUAGAUAUUAGCAGGAACACCGGUGGCGAAGGCGGCUAUCUGGACGACAACUGACGCUGAGGCGCGAAAGCGCGGGGAUCAAACAGG
rnacentral:rRNA from 1 species